GACGAACGCUGGCGGCGUGCUUAACACAUGCAAGUCGAACGGUGAUGCUCCAGCUUGCUGGAGUGGAUCAGUGGCGAACGGGUGAGUAACACGUGAGCAACCUGCCCCAGACUCUGGAAUAAGCGCUGGAAACGGCGUCUAAUACUGGAUACGAAACUGGCCCGCAUGGGCAUGGUUUGGAAAGUUUUUCGGUUUGGGAUGGGCUCGCGGCCUAUCAGCUUGUUGGUGAGGUAAUGGCUCACCAAGGCGACGACGGGUAGCCGGCCUGAGAGGGCGACCGGCCACACUGGGACUGAGACACGGCCCAGACUCCUACGGGAGGCAGCAGUGGGGAAUAUUGCACAAUGGGCGAAAGCCUGAUGCAGCGACGCCGCGUGAGGGAUGAUGGCCUUCGGGUUGUAAACCUCUUUCAGCAGGGAAGAAGCGAAAGUGACGGUACCUGCAGAAGAAGCACCGGCUAACUACGUG
rnacentral:rRNA from 1 species